AUUGAACGCUGGCGGCAGGCCUAACACAUGCAAGUCGAACGAGUGGCGGACGGGUGAGUAAUGUCUGGGAAACUGCCUGAUGGAGGGGGAUAACUACUGGAAACGGUAGCUAAUACCGCAUACCAUCAGAUGUGCCCAGAUGGGAUUAGCUAGUUGGUGGGGUAACGGCUCACCAAGGCGACGAUCCCUAGCUGGUCUGAGAGGAUGACCAGCAAAACUGGAACUGAGACACGGUACAGACUCCUAGGGGAGUCAGCAGUGGGGAAUAUGGCACCAUGGGCGCAAGCCUGAUGCAGCAAUGCCGCGUGUAUGAAGAAGGCCUAGGGGUUGUAAAGUACUUUCAGCGGAGAGGCGUUACCCGCAUAAGAAGCACCGGCUAACUCCGUGCCAGCAGCCGCGGUAAUAC
rnacentral:rRNA from 1 species